rnacentral:rRNA from 1 species
AGUGAACGCUGGCGGUAGGCCUAACACAUGCAAGUCGAACGGCAGCACAGUAAGAGCUUGCUCUUACGGGUGGCGAGUCGCGGACGGGUGAGGAAUACAUCGGAAUCUACUUUUUCGUGGGGGUUAACGUAGGGAAACUUACGCUAAUACCGCAUACGACCUACGGGUGAAAGCAGGGGAUCUUCUGACCUUGCGCGAUUGAAUGAGCCGAUGUCGGAUUAGCUAGUUGGCGGGGUAAAGGCCCACCAAGGCGACGAUCCGUAGCUGGUCUGAGAGGAUGAUCAGCCACACUGGAACUGAGACGCGGUCCAGACUCCUACGGGAGGCAGCAGAGGGGAAUAUUGGACAAUGGGCGCAAGCCUGAUCCAGCCAUACCGCGUGGGUGAAGAAGGCCUUCGGGUUGUAAAGCCCUUUUGUUGGGAAAGAAAAGCAGCAGGUUAAUACCACGCUGUUCUGACGGUACCCAAAGAAUAAGCACCGGCUAACUUCGUG